AAAUAAGUUAAAACUUUCAACAACGGAUCUCUUGGUUCUGGCAUCGAUGAAGAACGCAGCGAAAUGCGAUAAGUAAUGUGAAUUGCAGAAUUCAGUGAAUCAUCGAAUCUUUGAACGCACAUUGCGCCCGCUAGUAUUCUAGCGGGCAUGCCUGUUCGAGCGUCAUUUCAACCCUCAAGCCCUGCUUGGUGUUGGGGCCCUACGGCUGCCGUAGGCCCUGAAAACUAGUGGCGGGCUCGCUAUAACUCCGAGCGUAGUAGUAAAAUAUCUCGCUAGGGAGGUGUCGCGGGUUCCGGCCGUGAAAGCCCCAUCUUUUACACAAGGUUGACCUCGGAUCAGGUAGGAAUACCCGCUGAACUUAAGCAUAUCAAUAAGCGGAGGAAAAGAAACCAACAGGGAUUGCCCCAGUAACGGCGAGUGAAGCGGCAACAGCUCAAAUUUGAAAUCUGGCCUCGGCCCGAGUUGUAAUUUGUAGAGGAUGCUUUUGGUGAGGUGCCUUGUGAGUUCCCUGGAACGGGACGCCAGAGAGGGUGAGAGCCCCGUAUACUUGGACACCGAGCCUCUGUAAAGCUCCUUCGACGAGUCGAGUAGUUUGGGAAUGCUGCUCAAAAUGGGAGGUAUAUCUCUUCUAAAGCUAAAUAUUGGCCAGAGACCGAUAGCGCACAAGUAGAGUGAUCGAAAGAUGAAAAGCACUUUGAAAAGAGGGUUAAAUAGUACGUGAAAUUGUUGAAAGGGAAGCGCUUGUGACCAGACUUGUGCCGGGCUGAUCAUCCAGUGUUCUCACUGGUGCACUCUGCCCGGCUCAGGCCAGCGUCGGUUCUCGGUGGGGGACAAAAGCUU
rnacentral:rRNA from 1 species